UGCCAGCCGCCGCGGUAAUACGUAUGUCGCAAGCGUUAUCCGGAAUUAUUGGGCGUAAAGCGAGUCUAGGCGGCUUGUUAAGUCAGAUGUGAAAAUGCGGGGCUCAACUCCGUAUUGCGUUUGAAACUGGCAGGCUAGAGUACUGGAGAGGUGGGCGGAACUACAAGUGUAGAGGUGAAAUUCGUAGAUAUUUGUAGGAAUGCCGAUAGUGAAGACAGCUCACUGGACAGAUACUGACGCUAAAGCUCGAAAGCGUGGGGAGCGAACAGGAUUAGAUA
rnacentral:rRNA from 1 species